CCUACGGGCGGCAGCAGUCGAGAAUCAUUCACAAUGGGGGAAACCCUGAUGGUGCGACGCCGCGUGGGGGAAUGAAGGUCUUCGGAUUUUAACCCCCUGUCAUGUGGGAGCAAAUUAAAAAGAUAGUACCACAAGAGGAAGAGACGGCUAACUCUGUGCCAGCAGCCGCGGUAAUACAGAGGGCUCAAGCGUUGUUCGGAAUCACUGGGCGUAAAGCGUGCGUAGGCUGUUUCGUAAGUCGUGUGUGAAAGGCGCGGGCUCAACCCGCGGACGGCACAUGAUACUGCGAGACUAGAGUAAUGGAGGGGGAAGCGGAAUUCUCGGUGUAGCAGUGAAAUGCGUAGAUAUCGGGAGGAACACUCGUGUCGAAGGCGGGUUCCUGGACAUUAACUGACGCUGAGGCACGAAGGCCAGGGGAGCGAAAGGGAUUAGAUACCCCAGUAGUC
rnacentral:rRNA from 1 species